ACGAACGCUGGCGGCGCGCCUCACACAUGCAAGUCGAACGAGCGAGAGAGAGCUUGCUUUCUUGAGCGAGUGGCGAACGGGUGAGUAACGCGUGAGGAACCUGCCUCAAAGAGGGGGACAACAGUUGGAAACGACUGCUAAUACCGCAUAAGCCCACGGUGCCGCAUGGCACAGAGGGAAAAGGAGCAAUCCGCUUUGAGAUGGCCUCGCGUCCGAUUAGCUAGUUGGUGAGGUAACGGCCCACCAAGGCGACGAUCGGUAGCCGGACUGAGAGGUUGAACGGCCACAUUGGGACUGAGACACGGCCCAGACUCCUACGGGAGGCAGCAGUGGGGAAUAUUGCACAAUGGGGGAAACCCUGAUGCAGCGACGCCGCGUGGAGGAAGAAGGUCUUCGGAUUGUAAACUCCUGUUGUUGGGGAAGAUAAUGACGGUACCCAACAAGGAAGUGACGGCUAACUACGUG
rnacentral:rRNA from 1 species